UGCCCUAGUACGGCGAGUGAAGCGGCAACAGCUCAAAUUUGAAAUCUGGCUCUUUUAGAGUCCGAGUUGUAAUUUGCAGAGGGCGCUUUGGCUUUGGCAGCGGUCCAAGUUCCUUGGAACAGGACGUCACAGAGGGUGAGAAUCCCGUACGUGGUCGCUGGCUAUUGCCGUGUAAAGCCCCUUCGACGAGUCGAGUUGUUUGGGAAUGCAGCUCUAAAUGGGAGGUACAUUUCUUCUAAAGCUAAAUAUUGGCCAGAGACCGAUAGCGCACAAGUAGAGUGAUCGAAAGAUGAAAAGCACUUUGGAAAGAGAGUCAAACAGCACGUGAAAUUGUUGAAAGGGAAGCGCUUGCAGCCAGACUUGCUUACAGUUGCUCAUCCGGGUUUCUACCCGGUGCACUCUUCUGUAGGCAGGCCAGCAUCAGUUUGGGCGGUAGGAUAAAGGUCUCUGUCACGUACCUCCUUUCGGGGAGGCCUUAUAGGGGAGACGACAUACUACCAGCCUGGACUGAGGUCCGCGCAUCUGCUAGGAUGCUGGCGUAAUGGCUGUAAGCGGCCCGUCUUGAAACACGGACCAAGGAGUCUAACAUCUAUGCGAGUGUUUGGGUGUCAAGCCCGAGCGCGUAAUGAAAGUGAACGGAGGUGGGAACCCGCAAGGGUGCACCAUCGACCGAUCCUGAUGUCUUCGGAAGGAUUUGAGUAAGAGCAUGGCUGUUGGGACCCGAAAGAUGGUGAACUAUGCUUGAAUAGGGUGAAGCCAGAGGAAACUCUGGUGGAGGCUCGCAGCGGUUCUGACGUGCAAAUCGAUCGUCA
rnacentral:rRNA from 1 species